GCUCUCUUCGAGAACACACCUAAAAUUGGACCAAUACAAAGAAGACCAUCGUGACCCCUGUGCAAGCAUGGCAUACAAAUUCCUGAGGCAUUAAAUAUUUUU
ensembl:snRNA U6 U6 spliceosomal RNA